rnacentral:rRNA from 1 species
CACAGGAAACAGCUAUGACCAUGAUUACGCCAAGCUUGGUACCGAGCUCGGAUCCACUAGUAACGGCCGCCAGUGUGCUGGAAUUCGGCUUAUUACCGCGGCUGCUGGCACAGAGUUAGCCGGUGCUUCUUCUUUAGGUAACGUCAAGACUCAAGGAUAUUAGCCUUGAGCUUUUCUUUCCUACUGAAAGUGCUUUACAACCCGCAGGCCUUCUUCACACACGCGACAUUGCUGGAUCAGGCUUUCGCCCAUUGUCCAAUAUUCCCUAC